rnacentral:rRNA from 1 species
ACGCUGGCGGCGUGCUUAACACAUGCAAGUCGAGCGAAGCGGUUAGAAGAUUCUUCGGAUGAUUCUUAACUGACUGAGCGGCGGACGGGUGAGUAACGCGUGGGUGACCUGCCCCAUACCGGGGGAUAACAGCUGGAAACGGCUGCUAAUACCGCAUAAGCGCACAGAGCUGCGUGGCUCGGUGUGAAAAACUCCGGUGGUAUGGGAUGGGCCCGCGUCUGAUUAGGCAGUUGGCGGGGUAACGGCCCACCAAACCGACGAUCAGUAGCCGGCCUGAGAGGGCGACCGGCCACAUUGGGACUGAGACACGGCCCAAACUCCUACGGGAGGCAGCAGUGGGGAAUAUUGCACAAUGGGGGAAACCCUGAUGCAGCGACGCCGCGUGAGCGAAGAAGUAUUUCGGUAUGUAAAGCUCUAUCAGCAGGGAAGAUAAUGACGGUACCUGACUAAGAAGCCCCGGCUAACUACGUGCCAGCAGCCGCGGUAAUACGUAGGGGGCAAGCGUUAUCCGGAUUUACUGGGUGUAAAGGGAGCGUAGACGGCAAGGCAAGUCUGAUGUGAAAACCCAGGGCUUAACCCUGGGACUGCAUUGGAAACUGUCUGGCUCGAGUGCCGGAGAGGUAAGCGGAAUUCCUAGUGGAGCGGUGAAAUGCGUAGAUAUUAGGAAGAACACCAGUGGCGAAGGCGGCUUACUGGACGGUAACUGACGUUGAGGCUCGAAAGCGUGGGGAGCAAACAGG